UACGUAGGGGGCAAGCGUUGUCCGGAAUCAUUGGGCGUAAAGCGCGCGUAGGCGGUCAGGUAAGUCCGGUGUGAAAGUCAAAGGCUCAACCUUUGAAUGCCGCUGGAUACUGCCUGACUUGAGUCCGGAAGGGGCGAGUGGAAUUCCUGGUGUAGCGGUGAAAUGCGCAGACUAUCAGGAGGAACACCAAUGGCGAAGGCAGCUCGCUGGAACGGUACUGACGCUGAGGCGCGAAAGCGUGGGGAGCAAACAGG
rnacentral:rRNA from 1 species